UAUAAUCAUCUUCUUGUAUUUCUUCAGUGAUUUUGUUAGUGACUGUUAUGUUAAAGGUUCAACUUUUUCUUCUUUUCUCUCCUGCAGACAUCAGUGAACAAACUGAACAUCUUCAUCACAGAGCUGGAGAUGACGUCCUUGUAGAACUACAUCCUCCUCUUCCUCGUGCUCUGAUGUUACAUGGCUGAACCAGAAAGAUCCAGAUGAAGCACUGAGACCAGAAGUCCACAAAGGAAGUGUUGUCCAGAGUUAACUUAGAGCUUCCAGGCUGAAUGUGAGCACUGACUGCUCUCUGCUCAUCACAAACAUCUCUGAUGAAGAUGCUGCUCCAUGUCUCUGUGGGCUCAGGAACAAGAACGCGUUUGAGGCGUAUCUUAAUACUUUGAGCAGUGAGUAUUCUGACAUGAAUAAUUCUGUGACUUCAUGGUUGUCAACAUUCUGAUCUUUUUCAGAAACAGCUCAAACCCUGAAGAGACUCUGACGUUUGGAGUUUUUCAUCUAAACCUUCAGAUUCUACAAUAGAUUCAAUAUUAUUCCUUUAUUUACGUUCAGAGUCAGAACUAAUCAGUUUUCAUCUCAGAUGAGGGGGGGAUUUAUCUCACAAAUCCAGAGCUUCUGGGCUUUUCUAAUUCUAAGAAUGAUAGGAGUUAGACCAGACAGACCCGGAGAAUCAGGACUAGAAAGACAAAGAAAGAGCUGACAACAAAGUUUCAGCUUCAUGCAGAAAACAUUUCUGUGGUUCAUUUGAUAUAGUUUUAGAUCAUUUCUAUAAUAAUGUUUGUUGAAAGUUGUCAGAAAAUGAUGAGACUCCAUCAUCCUCUGUAAUAGUUUACUCUGAAACUCCAAAAUCCAGACUAUUUCUGUUUGUUGAACCAAAUGAAAACAUUUCUCUGAAUAGUUUCUAAAAUGGUCAAAUCAGCUCUUUCUUUAGAAAACGGUCAGCAGGUACAUGUGGUCACUGUCAGGACCAAAGGUUUUCAUGGAAAAACCUCUUUUCUGUUUGUGUUUUCCUUCAGUUUGUAAAGAUCCAGCAGACGUUCCUCCCAGAGGAAGUGGAAGUGUCCCAUUCCAGUGUUCACUGAGUAGAUUUGAUCCAACUAUUCCCUGUAGACACAACAGCUUCAUCUGGAUGAAUGAGACGGGAUCUCAGCUGUCUGGUGACGGAGUUGGCUUGGAGUUUAGAGGACAACCAGACUGUGUUUCUGUUCUGACUGGGAAACAACCAAACGUUCAUCUGUCAGUUUGUGGAGGAUGAGGAGGUGAAGACAGAUGCUGUCUAUGUUCUGGACUCUUCAGAUCUUUCUGGUCACAACUUCAUCAUCAUGGUUGGAGCCGUGAUGAAGGUGGUGUUGAUGUUUCUGGGUGUGGUUGCUGCUCUGGUCUACAUGUCCAGGAGGAGAACCAAAGGGAACGAGGACCAGAGAACUAGAACAAGGAGAAAAAUUGUUGCUGGUGAUGAAGAUGCCCUGUGAGGAAGAGAUGCAGAAAACUCUGUUUAUAUUUGUUGUUGUUUAUGUUUAGAUUUAGAAAAAAGUCUGUUUUUUCCUGCAUUUUAAUAAGAAAUAAUCUCUUUGUGCUUUAAAUGCAGACAUAUGGCCGGGGCUAUUGAGCACCUUUAUUAUAAAUCAUGUGUAUUAACAAUUAAAAAAUAGAAUAGAUUAUAUCAAACAUAUUAGAUUAGAUCAACAACGCGUCCCCCGCCGUCUCUGUUUACAUUCCUCCCGUUCUCGGUUGCUAAGCUGGAGGCUGAGCAGCUUCCUGACCCCCGCUGACCCCCGCUGACAUGGGCGAGCAGCCCGGAGUGACACAGCCACCUCAGAGGACCGCGGGGGACACGUUGUUGAUCUAAUCACUUUCAGUGUUAAGUCAAUGGUACAGACGCCAUCUGAGGUCCUCCAACGCCAUUUGAGCGGUGGGCGUGGCCACUUUCAAUGUUAAGUCAAUGGCACAGACGCCAUCUGAGGUCCUGCAGCGCCAUUUGAGCGGUGGGCGUGGCCACUUUCAAUGUUAAGUCAAUGGCACAGACGCCAUCUGAGGUCCUGCGGCGCCAUUUGAGCGGUGGGCGUGGCCACUUUCAAUGUUAAGUCAGUGGCACAGACGCCAUCUGAGGUCCUGAAGCGCCAUUUGAGCGGUGGGCGUGGCCACUUUCAAUGUUAGGUCAAUGGCACAGACGCCAUCUGAGGUCCUCCAACGCCAUUUGAGCGGUGGGCGUGGCCACUUUCAAUGUUAAGUCAAUGGCACAGACGCCAUCUGAGGUCCUGCAGCGCCAUUUGAGCGGUGGGCGGCGCUAAAAUCAGUGCUGAUCAGACUGCAUGGAGCCCAAGCUCCAGAAAAGAGGAGAGGAGAAGAAGAAGUCGUCCACAUGAAGCUUCACCUUAGAGGAAAAGAGGAGCUGCUGAACUAAAGUACUCGAGUACUGAGGAAGACUUUCAACCUCUGAUGGAUUCUGUAGAACAUCUGGAACUAGAAUGGAGAAAGUGCUUCAGUUCCAUCAGCUGUCAGUCUGCAGCAGCUUCAUCUGCUGCCUCCAUCCUCUCUCUGUGAGUCUCUGCAGAGUUUUUCUGCAGCUGCUGGUUUUUCUGCAGCAGCAGCAGCAUCAGAGCCAGAGAGCCAAAGAAAGUGGAAAGUCUGAGAAGGAAGCAGCUCUGAAGCUCUGCAGCUGACGGUGCAGCUUCAGGACUCAUGAGGAGGAGCACAUGCACGGCUCUGAUGCUGCUGAACGUCUGACUGAGAUGAUCCACAUUCAGAAGAGAGUUUCAGAGUGAAAGACGUGUGGAA